UUACCAAUUUAAACUAUUCCCUCCUCCAGAGAGGCCACCUUGCCUUCUUAGAAAUCAGGGGGUUGAGUGAUAACGUCAGAACGUAUUUCAUCACAGAAUGGGGAGGAAGACGUGCUUCCGUUAUUCCUGAGGCUGUCCUGAUCUCUUAAGCCCAUGUGAGUUAAGUUAAUGAAUGGCUGAAGGCAAAGAUAGAAAGGGACCAUUUGAUCCCCUUCCAGCUUUCCCUGUUCAGAUACAGCCUGCGCUCCCAGUCCUUCCAGACACACCAUGAUAAACGUCCUGGCCAUAAUUGUGGCAUUGGUUAUGUCCCGUUAUGUCCAGGGCAGGAUCUUUCCGUUUUUGUCUCUUGUUUGUUCAUUUAUUCAAUGUCAGUUCAUAGACCUCUGGUUCUAGACCUGGUGUCUGUCAACACAGGACAUGGUGGACAAAAUUACUGCACAUGGAUGAAGAUGCCAUAGUCCUGUGCCACGUGGGUUAAUGAAUGAUCAGAGGCAAAGAUAGAGAAAGGGCCCUUUAUCCCCACCUGGGUUUCUCCGUUCAGAUACAGCCUGAAUUCCCAGUGCUUCCAGACUCACCAUGAUGAAGUUCCUGGUCCUCAUUGUGGCGUUGGUUAUCACCACAGGUGGGGAAAUACAGAGGGAGCUGAAGACAUUACAUCUCAUUUCAGCAUUUUUCUUGUGAUGGCAGGAUGAUCCCGGGCUUCCGCAGCACCAGAGCGAGUUUCAAAGGUGAAGGAAUUGAGGGAUUCCUUCAAGGGACUUCCAAUGUUAUCCAUAGUCAUCUGGGGUAUGGCAGACAGAAGCAAGACAGCCCCGGAAUUGUCGUAAGCAAAUCCAUUACUGUAUAUGUUUAAUAGCUACUGGCAUUGUUGUCGGCAUAUUACACCAACAGUUUCAGCCACUAGCGGGAGUACAUCCAUUUUCUGUCUCUUUUAUUUAGGUACAC
rnacentral:lncRNA from 1 species